CCUACGGGUGGCAGCAGUGGGGAAUAUUGGACAAUGGGCGAAAGCCUGAUCCAGCCAUGCCGCGUGUGUGAAGAAGGCCUUCGGGUUGUAAAGCACUUUUAGUGGGGAAGAAAGCCUUGGGGCUAAUACCCUCGAGGAAGGACAUCACCCACAGAAGAAGCACCGGCUAACUCCGUGCCAGCAGCCGCGGUAAUACGGAGGGUGCGAGCGUUAAUCGGAAUUACUGGGCGUAAAGCGCGCGUAGGCGGUCUGAUAAGCCGGUUGUGAAAGCCCCGGGCUCAACCUGGGAACGGCAUCCGGAACUGUCAGGCUAGAGUGCAGGAGAGGAAGGUAGAAUUCCCGGUGUAGCGGUGAAAUGCGUAGAGAUCGGGAGGAAUACCAGUGGCGAAGGCGGCCUUCUGGACUGACACUGACGCUGAGGUGCGAAAGCGUGGGUAGCAAACAGGAUUAGAUACCCUGGUAGUC
rnacentral:rRNA from 1 species